rnacentral:rRNA from 1 species
GGUUAAGCGACUAAGCGUACACGGUGGAUGCCCUGGCAGUCAGAGGCGAUGAAGGACGUGCUAAUCUGCGAUAAGCGUCGGUAAGGUGAUAUGAACCGUUAUAACCGGCGAUUUCCGAAUGGGGAAACCCAGUGUGAUUCGUCACACUAUCAUUAACUGAAUCCAUAGGUUAAUGAGGCGAACCGGGGGAACUGAAACAUCUAAGUACCCCGAGGAAAAGAAAUCAACCGAGAUUCCCCCAGUAGCGGCGAGCGAACGGGGA